CAGAAGUGUCCUUUGCUGCAAUUAUAUCACUCCUGCAUUAAAAGCAUACUCUCUUGUCAAAUACAUACAAGCAGAGGACUAGUAGAACUAGCUACAUCUGUUUAAAGAAAUUUUAAAUCAUUUUGCAAUCAAUAAUUCCUAAUUUGUUUCAUUGCAUGUACAUUUUACACCUUUUCCUUAACAAGUGAAUGAGAUCCUGUUUUCCAUUCAUGACUUGGUGUGCAGGAGAUAAGGAAGAUAAAGAGGAAAAUAAUCAGAAGAUUUUGCAGAGAGAAGCAACCGGGGUUUCACCCUGCUGGAAUGAACAGUCACCUACACCAGGCAGCUUAACUGAAUGCGUUUUGUAUUUUAAGUUUCAGACACAACUUGAAACCCAAGGAAGAUCCUCUUCAAGUUGCUGGCAGAUGGGAGCCUGUGGACAAAUACCUGACUGUGAAAUCACAGCAGUUUGGACGUCAACCAGAGAUACAGCUAACCAAUCACUAUGCAGAGCAGUUGCUAACAACAGAAAAUGUCACCGUUCCUUUGGGAGACAACUGCUAACCACACAAAGUGAGUAAGUUUAUAAAUAAUUAGGGAAAAAGAUUAGAAAACAUGUAACCUUGAGUUGUGAGCUAAUACACAUUAGCUCUUCCUGUGAUGAAUGACAAUGGCUGAGUAGCUGCAUGUUAGAAGCGUGGAAUGCAGACGCAGUGUCAGCCUAACUCCACCAUCACAAAGAGCUGAAUGGGCAGGAGAGAAGGAGCCUGUGGGCUGGCGGGGUCAGGUGAGGACAGUAGGACCCGGUUGGAUUUGAUGUACUUUUGUGGCCAUUAGCUGACCAGGAAGAAUUCUUUCAGUCCUGAGAUGUGACUUUUUCUUCCUUCUCUGUCCUGGAAAUUUCAUUUUCCUGAGAUAAGGGAAGGAAAGGAGCCUCCCCAGCCUCUUCUGGAUGCUCUUUUUCUCUCUGAAAAGGAAGAAAUGAAAUUCCAUGACAGGAUCCUAGCUGAUCCAGAGACUAUGGGGGUGGCAGGGUGGCAUUUCUGGAAGGUCCACCCCUGGGUGGGUCUAUAAAAGCCUGUGAACUUGAAAUUUUGUUCAGAACUGCUAAGUGAAGAAUUCUGAAGCCUAAGUUGAAUGUAGAAUGUUGAAGGAGAGUAUUUGUGAAGGAGAGACAAGGGUGUGGACUACAGCUGCCGGUGAGGUCAGGGCCUCUACUGUCCAGGGCUUGCCCCACAUUAUCUCAGCACAUUCAUGAGAAGAGCAUCCCAACUUCAAAACCUCUCUGCCUGUGUUUUGUAGAGGGUGUCUAGUGGGGAGAGAGAGAAGAGAAAAUGCUUCCUGACCUUUGUAAACCAACAUGUGUCAGCCAGGGAGAGUUAAGAACUCUGUAACUGGGUGACUCUUGGCCAUGUGGUGGUAGAUAGAGCCAUGGCUGUGAGAGGGAUUGAGGUUUUUCUAGGGUGGCUCUGAGCUGGUGAAUGAGAUGAAAAUUAAGUGGAGAAUCAGAAUUAAGAAUCCUAAGCACUAAGAGUAGAGUAUAGUGAGGAAGAGAGAUGCGUACAUGACACCUGGGGAUCA
rnacentral:lncRNA from 1 species